UGACUUGAUAGGCGCAAGGGCCUGGGGGCAAGGUUGUCUGCAAGGACGGCCUCCGCGCUACGUGGGGAGUGGGGCUGGGGCGCGCAGAACGCCUGCACUUGUGGACUCUGGAGGCGUGUCGCUCCACGACCUGCCCCUGGGCAAGAUGCGGCGUCACUCCUUAAGAACGCUGAGCCACGAGCGCUGGUGCUCUCCAAAGCAGAAGGGUUCCGAGGCGCAGGUGCUGACUUUGGAACGCCGACCAACCCGAAGAUGUGAUUGGACAGAUCUGUCAACAUUCAUAGCGAGAACCAUUCCCUAAGAUUGGUUGAACGCCUGUCAGACCUUGUAGUGGCUGCUCAGGGCCUCCUGCCUUUUAAUUCUCCAAGUACACCUAAGCUUUAGGCAUUAUACCAGGCAUGCACUCACAGGAAGCCUGGUCAAUGGAGGGUCCAGGAAAGAAUGAGAGAUCCUGGAGAACAGAAGUGCUGCAGGGUUAGCAGUAGGGGGGAGGAGGAGAACAUAAAGGAUGGGUGGCUUUUCUCGUGGAAGUGCUAGAGGUAGAGGGGGAAAGUAGGAUCUGUGGAAUGGUGAUGGCGAGGAAAGAUUCUUGCUCAGUGUUUUGUUGUGAAAAGAACUAAUCAGUGUGUUUUAGAGCCCAAUUUAUCUUUCAUCCCCUAGAGCCUAUAGGUUUGGAUGGUUCAGAAUUCCCUUAGGUAGUUCUAUCUCCCUGCUACUGAAAUAGAACUGCACGACAGCAAGAGAAUGGUUAUCUUUGCCUCUAAGCCCUCUAAGCACAAAAGAAGCAGUGAGAUUAGGCGAUGGUAGUAUGGUGGGUUUGUAUCUUGGCUUCCUCUCCCUAGCUCGGUGAUUUGGGAGGGGGUAUUUUCCUUCUUGUGCCCUUCCUCUUACUGAUGCUAUGAAGACUAAAUGGAAAGCCCUUAGAAGAUUGUAUGGCACCUAAGUACUAGAAACUCAAUAAAGGUUGCUAGUUAUUCAUGGAUAAAGAUGUCAGAUACUGUGAAACCGUGGAACCACAGCGGUGGAUACACAUGCCAUCCCACAUUUGUCUAAACCCAUAGAACGUGUCACACCAAGAA